CAACUGUAAUUUAUUUUUCUUCAGCAAUUUCUUUCUGUGACUUCUAAUGUUUCAAAAUUGCAAACCCUACAUUUCAUUCACAACCGUUCCUUACACAUCGAUACUCUCUGCUCCACUUCUUUAUGUGUUCAAAGUUGAGUGAUGUUAGAAGAAGACGAUUUCAAUUUGGAGGCUGGUAAGUUGAAACAACGAGCUCCUCGAACUAGAAUCGCGUAUGCGUUAUCCAACCUUCAUGUCUCUAUGAUUAAAAUACUAAUUCAGUCAUAUGAGUCUAUUAGGGCAAUUAUUUAUUUUACUUUAUUACGAUGGUUAUCGAAACACGUAGAUUUGUUAUUUUAUAAGUAUUGAUAUUGGAUCUUUGUGAGUUUCUCAUGUAGUUUAUGAUUUAGGGCUAUUGCUUUUUGUUGUGUUUUUUUAAAACUUGAAGGUUUAAAGACGCACACCAACUGUUUGAUAAAAUGCUUCAACUAAAAUUUCAAGAUGCAAAUUACCAGCCUGUGAGUUUUUGCCAUGGACAUCAUCUGGAAAUAAAAUGCAGCUCCUAAUUCGUUUGAAGCUCCCAAAUACCCUCAGAAGAGGUUGAAGGCUGGUUGUAUUGGUUGCAAGAAAUUGUAUUCCCUAUGAUAAUCGUUAUGUUUCAACUAAUAUAGGCGUUGAGUGUUUAUGAAUUCAAAGUGAUGUGAAUUUGGGAAAGAUGAAUACGAUCUUUGACGAUAGAAUGGGUUUCUUUAGGUAUGUGGUGGUCAUUGAAGCUCCCACAUAUAAAGAAGCGUUUGGAUGCUAUGUGGCUUUAAUGUUAAGAAGGUUUCGCUGACUCUAUGCUCAUGAGUAAAACAUGACUGUAUUUUGCAACAAUAACGGUCUUUAUUAGAGUGCACAUUGUUUUGGUAUUUAAGGGAGAAACAAGGCUUAUGGAGUGCUGCAUCACAUGCAUGGACUUUAUUUCUGAAAUCUUUACUUUUUACUGGUCGUUUUGGGUUGUGUUUUAUCUCAGAUAGAUCAAAUGGGUUAAGCUAAAAAUUGGUUAGCACAAAGGAGAGUCACUCAAGCGGGUUGGAAGUUGUCCAUAGGAUAUAUAUAUAUAAUGCGCUUAAAUCGUUUUC